ACAAUGGGAGCAAUAAUGGCAAUAACGCAAAAUGAUAAAAAAAGAUGGAAAAGCAACAACGAUAUUAUACUCGUUCUGCGGCUAAAGUAACAAAGUUUUUCUCAUAUAAUUAACAUGGAACAAUGAUAACAUUGCGUCAGCCGCCUUGAACGAGGAAAAUAAACAGAAAAAAUCGAGCUCUCGAGAUAUCUAGUUAAUGGCACCAUUCGUAAUGAUGGAAGUUUAGCUUACCAUGCAAGAGAUUAUUUUUUCCCUAGUAUAAGUUUAGGAAAAGUAAUUUCACGUUUUCAAGUCCAAGUGAAGCUAUCAAACUACGAAAUUAUCUUCAUCAGUAUCAAUACAGAUGAAAACUUUAAAACCAUCAAAGCAACCAUCAGCUGAAUUUUAAUAAAUAGAAAAAGUCAAUAAACAA